rnacentral:lncRNA from 1 species
ACAGAGAAAUCACCAUGGAGACCCAAGGACAGAAAGAACAGGAUCUCUGCUUGCUCAUAAGGGAUCUCAUACUCAAGGUUGUAUUUUGGGGAGCAAUAGGGGUUCUAAAUUCACAUGUAGAGUUCUUAACACUCCAAAAGCUGCCUAACAGGCAGGUGAGAACAAUUCCCAUGACAAUUACCUGAUAAUCAGAGACGUGAGAGAAUAAUCUGUGUGUGUACAUGUGUGCAGUAUGCAGUGUUUUGGAGCCCCUAUACUCGACCUUUUGUACUCACAUUUGUUAGGCGAUUGUCAUUGUUAUGACAGUAACCCAUUUGUGACAGCAGUGUGAAAUCCCACAGUGGAAAGAGUGUAUUUAUAUGAGGUGUGAUAGGAUCGCUAAAUAAACCAUCUUCCUCUUUGAAAAUGUAUCCUCGGGACAGAUAAUUACCAUUACACAGCCCUGGAUGGCAUCUUAAUUAGUGUAUUGGGGAGCGAUCUCUGAUAGAGCAUAGGGGUUAGGCAAUAUUUUGUACUAGCUGACAGUACCAGUCAAGGGAUACCACAUUACUAUUUUGUUCUGGACCCUUAUGAAGUCUGAAUUCUGUUGGGUAGGGCAUGCAUGUGCUGCUUGGAAAUAUGUGGAAUUAAAAAAUGGAUAGGCAAAAAUCAACAAUCUAGUCAUAGUCAUUUCUUGAAAUCCAAUAAUUGAUUUCAUCCAGCAUUGAUUUCAUGUUUAGUUAUACAAGCUCUCAUGUUGCAAUUUAAAGCUUGCCUUAGAGGAUUCAGGAUUCCUAAAAUUUGACCUGGAUGUGACAAGCACACCCCAGUCCACUGCUUUAAGAUUCUUUAAAUAAACUGUGACUUUAAUAUCCCAUCAUCCUAAAACUCAUUUGGAUCUGGCAUGGUGGACUUGUUAUGGUCCCUGUAGCUUUUCGGCCUAGGAGUCAGGUUGGCUGUCUGUAUGCGUCAGCCUGCUCUGCCAACAGCCAUCAACAACAUAUACAGACAGAUACAAGUCAGUCGAUAACCACAACUAAUUUCUACAUGUAUAGGGCAAUGAGUUCAUACAGGAAUAAGAGCCAGCAUUUGUUAACCUUUUGGGUACCAGAGGAUGUUACUUUGCACAGAGCAGAAUAGCUGAAUUUAAAAAAUGCUAAGCUGGAGAAUCAUCUUCAAUUUAGCAUUUUGACUCUACCUAACCAAAACCAAACCUCACAACUCAGUCUCUAUUUUAGCACGACAGUCCUUAUUUUAGGGUCUCUAUUUGGUCCAUGGUGUCCCUCAUCCGGGGACACCAGGAAACUGUGUCCCAGCACUGCCAGCAGCACUCUGUGAGCGCAUCAUUAGAUACAUACAGCACUUUUAUAUUUACCGCCUACACAGCAGUAAUCGUAGAGUAUGUUUUGGUAGGGUGACUCAACAGGGCCGGUGCAAGGAUUUUGGGGUACUUAGGCGAAGAUGCAUUUUUCCGUCACCCACCUAGAGCAGGUGCAUCCAUAAGGCAUAAGGUAUAGGGCCAAACAGGACAAGGGCCCUGGUUCUUUUUGUAAUGGCACAAAAUGAGCUAAAACCAGCUUGAAAUCUGAGCAGGGACCCACCGAAGGGCAGGCUAUUUGAGCUGUUUGUCCAUUCUCAGUACUCUCUUGCCCCUUGUUUUUUUCUCUCCUUAAGUUUAGAGGGUAAUCCAGAUGUAGACACCUUGCUCACGGUGCCUAGAAGGGUAUCGGCUAUACCUUACUGACGAUACCUAACAAGGUAGAAAUGAUUGUGUGGGGUUGCUGUAUCUCUCGUACAGAGAGAGGCAUCCUGCAUUUUGUAUCGGUUUCACCCUUCUGGUGGGAUCAUUCGAUAUGCAAAUGGUCUGGUUAUUUUUGUAAUGGCACAAGAUGAGCUAAAACCAGCUUGAGAUCUGAGUGGGGACCCACCAAAAGGC